AUGAACGCUGGCGGCGUGCCUAAUACCUGCAAGUCGAGCGAACGGACGAGAAGCUUGCUUCUCUGAUGUUAGCGGCGGACGGGUGAGUAACACGUGGAUAACCUACCUAUAAGACUGGGAUAACUUCGGGAAACCGGAGCUAAUACCGGAUGAUAUUUUGAACCGCAUGGUUCAAAAGUGAAAGACGGUCUUGCUGUCACUUAUAGAUGGAUCCGCGCUGCAUUAGCUAGUUGGUAAGGUAACGGCUUACCAAGGCAACGAUGCAUAGCCGACCUGAGAGGGUGAUCGGCCACACUGGAACUGAGACACGGUCCAGACUCCUACGGGAGGCAGCAGUAGGGAAUCUUCCGCAAUGAGCGAAAGCCUGACGGAGCAACGCCGCGUGAGUGAUGAAGGUCUUCGGAUCGUAAAACUCUGUUAUUAGGGAAGAACAUAUGUGUAAGUAACUGUGCACAUCUUGACGGUACCUAAUCAGAAAGCCACGGCUAACUACGUG
rnacentral:rRNA from 1 species